CAGCAAAGAAAAUCAUGCACAAUGCGCCUCAUGAAGACGUCCAGGUCUGGCCUGUGGGCACCUUUUCGAGACCAGUUAUUUCAUACCUGAGCCAUGGACGAUGAUCCUGUUCUGAAACACCUUCGGGCCUCUAUGAAGAAACUAACAAGGAAGCAUGGGGACCUGCCACCCCCAGAAACUGAGGAAAUCCCUCUUCAUGCUGAAAGAGCUCACCAACAAAUUCAGGCAGCCUGUGAAACGUUUGAUGUCCGAAGCCAACAGCACAUUCAGAUCCUCAAGCUCUACACCUCCAAUGUGACCUGGGGCUUGCACCACUUCAGGCUCGUGCAGGACUCACAGCCUUUGGACCUCAGCUAAGGGACCUGCUUCUCUGUAGCACAUGGGGCUUGUUUGUGUUGGGGUCUGAGCCCUGAGCUCAUGGUCAAGGAGAACCCCAGGUCCUUCUGAACAGAGACAGCUGGCCUCGGGGCCUCCCUCUCACUGCAUGCAAGAGCCUGUUAGGGCACAAGACUCAAGGCGCUGAGGGAGGCUGUUUCAGGAGGAAGCCGCAGAAGGAUGGUGGAGAGAGAAAGGGACAGCAUCCGCCGAGGGCCUACUGUGUGCCAGGCACUGUCCAGGGCUCCUGGCCCACAUGGGCUAAGUGAGCCUGGACACUCCUCCUGGGAGAAAGGCACAGAUGGAGAAAUUGCAGUUCAGGGAGGUGAAGCAAGCUGCUAGCCUGUGGCCACUUUGGGAUCUGAGCGCCAGCCUUCUAGCCACAAAGGCAGCCAAGGGUCAUGAAGAAGGCAUCACAGAGGCGAUUCCAGGCUGUAGUGGUGAACUCUCCACUCUGCACCCCCAGGUGCUGUGCCCUGUGCCCUGAUUAGAUAGUCCUGAAGGUUUCUACAUGUUUAAGAUAUCCCUAAUGUCAACGAUGCUCUCCUGUGGAUCCCAAGCUGUGGAGAUGUCCUGGGACUUUCCAUUUCAGGUUCCUAAAUUGAAUUUCCCAACACCUAGAAGCAACCCAGCUGCCCUGUAUCAGACCAAGGACCUUUAUUUGUGAUUCAGAAACAGUGGAAUAAAAGGAAAGGAAAGAAAACCCCAACAGCCACCUCAGCAGGAUGCCCCAAGGCCCUCAGCAGCAUGCACGCCAAUAACAUGUUCACCACGAGGCUCAAAUCUUGGCAGAAGCUACAGAGUCCAACAUCCAGAGUACAGCAAGUGGAAGUUCACCAACAGCCUCACGUUCCUGGAGGUGCUGGAGGAGUUUCCAUCCCUGCGGGUGUCUGCUGGCUUCCUGCUCUCCCAGCUCCCCAUUCUGAAACCCAGGUUCUACUCCACGAGCUCCUCCCGGGAUCACAUGCCCAUGGAGAUCCACCUGACUGUGGCCGUG
rnacentral:lncRNA from 1 species